UACGUAGGUGGCGAGCGUUGUCCGGAUUUACUGGGCGUAAAGCGCGCGCAGGCGGAUUGGUCAGUCUGGGGUGAAAUCUCACGGCUCAACUGUGAGCGGUCCCUGGAUACUGCCAGUCUUGAGGUGUCUAGAGGAGAGCGGAAUUCCUGGUGUAGCGGUGAAAUGCGCAGAUAUCAGGAAGAACACCCGUGGCGAAGGCGGCUCUCUGGGACGGUACUGACGCUGAGACGCGAAAGCGUGGGGAGCGAACAGG
rnacentral:rRNA from 1 species